rnacentral:ncRNA from 2 species
AGCAGCCGCGGUAAUUCCAGCUCCAAUAGCGUAUAUUAAAGUUGUUGCAGUUAAAAAGCUCGUAGUUGAAUUUCGGGAUUGACACAUCGGUCGUGCCUUAAGGGGUAUGAACUGGUGUAGUCAAUUUCUCACCUUCUGGAGAACCGCGAUGCCCUUAAUUGGGUGUCGCGGGGAACCAGGACCUUUACUUUGAAAAAUUAGAGUGUUUAAAGCAGGCAUUUUGCUUGAAUACAUUAGCAUGGAAUAAUAAAAUAGGACGGCAUGAUUCUAUUUUGUUGGUUUCUAGGAUCACCGUAAUGAUUAAUAGGGAUAGUUGGGGGCAUUAGUAUUCAAUUGUCAGAGGUGAAAUUCUUGGAUUUAUUGAAGACUAACUACUGCGAAAGCAUUUGCCAAGGAUGUUUUCAUUAAUCAAGAACGAAAGUUAGGGGAUCGAAGACGAUCAGAUACCGUCGUAGUCUUAACCAUAAACUAUGCCGACUAGGAAUCAGACGAUGUUAAUUUUUUAAUGACUCGUUUGGCA